GGGUGCGAUCAUACUAGCACUAAUGCAUCGGAUCCCAUCAGAACUCCACAGUUAAGUGCGUUUGGGCGAGAGUAGUACGAGGAUGGGUGACCUCCUGGGAAGUCCUCGCGUGGAACCCU
rnacentral:rRNA from 1 species